rnacentral:rRNA from 1 species
CAGAUUGAACGCUGGCGGCAUGCUUUACACAUGCAAGUCGAACGGCAGCACGGACUUCGGUCUGGUGGCGAGUGGCGAACGGGUGAGUAAUACAUCGGAACGUGCCUAGUANUGGGGGAUAACUACUCGAAAGAGUGGCUAAUACCGCAUGAGAUCUACGGAUGAAAGCAGGGGACCUUCGGGCCUUGUGCUACUAGAGCGGCUGAUGGCAGAUUAGGUAGUUGGUGGGGUAAAGGCUUACCAAGCCUGCGAUCUGUAGCUGGUCUGAGAGGACGACCAGCCACACUGGGACUGAGACACGGCCCAGAC